UACGUAGGUGGCAAGCGUUGUCCGGAUUUACUGGGCGUAAAGAGCGCGCAGGCGGUCGUUCAAGUCGCGUGUGAAAGCCCCCGGCUCAACUGGGGAGGGUCACGCGAUACUGAUCGACUGGAAGGCAGGAGAGGGUAGUGGAAUUCCCGGUGUAGUGGUGAAAUGCGUAGAUAUCAAGAGGAACACCAGUGGCGAAGGCGAGUCCCUGGACAACACCUGACACUGAGGCACGAAAGCUAGGGGAGCAAACAGG
rnacentral:rRNA from 1 species